AAAUCCAAUUUUUUUGGGCUUUUGCAAAACCGGACCACAUUUUUCGCUUUUGUAGAUUCGGUCCGCUUUUUCAGCAAACUGAUCAAAAUACCCCUAUUACUUUUUCUCUUUUCUCUUUCUCUCUCCUCUUCGUUUUUCUCGUUUUUUUUUCUCGCCGAAAAAAGUAGCGAAGGCAGAGGCGGAGGCAGAGGCGGAAACGGUCCACCUCGCCUCUCACCCUCAUGCUCUCGCCCUCGCCCUUGCCCUCGCCCACGCACCCCCACCUUCCUCGCCUUUGACCCCGUCAAGGCCGCGCUGCGACUUUUUUUUUUUUUGCUUUUUUCUUUUCUUUUCUUCUCCGAUUCUCCUCGAGCGUCUCCGACGACGACGUCUCUCUCGCCCUUCCCCGCCCUUCUCGUCUCUCCCUCUCCCUUUUUCUCUGCCGCCUCUGACGACGAUGCAUCUUCGUCGGCGCCGACACCGACACCGUGGAGGUCACUGCGGCUCUGCAGCCUUGGAGCGGGAGAGUUCUUAGCGGCGUCGUCACCGGCGCCGUGGCUGUUGGCAAAGAGGGUGACAAAAAAAAAAUUAUAGAUGAAACAGAAAAAAAAAAUAAAAAAUUAUAUAAAAAAAGGAUGAAUAUGAAAUUGCAUCGAUAUCUACAAAAAAAAUUACAAGUUGCACUACUUAAGAUGUAAACUGCAGUUUUAAGAUAAAAAUUACACUAUUUGGGAGAUAUUUACACUGUUUCUCUUCUUAUUGCACUCUUUCAGAUGUAAACUGCAUCCAUUAAGAUGAAAGUUACACUCUUUAAAUGAAAGUUGCACUGUUUCUCCUCUUGUUGCACCAUUUCUCCUUUCUUACACUAUUUUUUAUCUUAAACUGCACCCAUUUAAGAGAUAUUUAUACUGUUUCUUCUCUUGUUGCACUGUUUUUCCUUUUAUUGCACUAUUUCUCCUCUUGUUGUAGGUGAAGUUUUAUUAGUUCUAUCAUUUAAUUUUUUAUUUUGAUAAUUCAUAAUAAGUUUUUUUUUUUUUAUACAAGUAGGUAAUUAUAUUUAAAGUUAAAAAUUCUUUAGGUUGAUGA
rnacentral:lncRNA from 1 species